GAGGUUCUGAGGAAAAACUUUACAUUUUGAGACCAUAAUGUUUUUCUGCAAUUAAAAGCUUAAAAUUGAUAAAUAAUUUUAAAGAAAAAAACUGAUCACCACAACAGUAAAUCUAACCAAGAAAUCUGCAAAAUUCUUUGUUUUCAGUCAAAUUGAAAAAUAAAAACCUGAAAUUUUAACAGGCAUUUUAAGAAUUUUGACAUCCAAUCUAAGGUUUUGCUUUUCCUGCUUUAGAAAAGAAAAAAACUAAAUCAGCAGUUAAAUGCUAAAUAAAAUGAUCUGACCUGCAUGGAGUUCCAUGGCUUGAUGAAGGAGCUGAUCAGGUCCAGGUGAUCGAUCGGUUCCUGGAGCUGGUGGUUCUGUCCGCCGGGCUUGUAGCUGCAGAACAGACUCCUGCUCCGAGCCCUGAGGUGGUUCAACACGCUCAUCACUCAGAGCGGACGCUUUCCUACAAACAUCCAGUAAACCAGACCAACAGAAACCUUCAAAACAUCCUGUCCUGAAAUCAUUUCCUCUGCAAGCAUAUCAGACGCGACACUCAGAGAGAAGAGGCCGACUGAGAUGAUCUGGGUGCUUAAAGUUUUAAAUACGGUACUGUUAUCCUCUUCUGUCUGUUUCUCUCUCUCUCUCAUCCCACCAUGUCAUCACAAAUCUGAUGGAUUUACAGAGAUCAGGAGCUAAACACUUAAAUCUUUGAACACUUUAUAGGCGUCAUUAAGCACGAGUGAAAAAAAUGUGCAGGUAUGAGUCGAAGGUUCAAAUUUGGGGUUUUUGUAGCUUCUAUGGUGCUACAAAAGUGUCCUAAAAAUACAGAAUAUAAUACAAAAAAAAAUACAUAGUUACUUAAAUGUCUCAGAUUACAGAGUAUUAGGGCCACACUAAGAAAAUAAAAAUAAAAUGAAGUCAAAAUUAUGAGAAUAGAGUCACAGUAUAAUGAGAACUCAUAGGUGUUUCCCUGCUUCUGUACACCUGGAAUAAAUGAAUAGGCGAUUAACCGACUUCUAUAGCAAUUACAGGAAUGCAAUAUGAAUAAACUGUGCUGGAGUUCGGACUCAUCAAAAACAUGCAGGACAGCGGUCCCUGAGGGCCAGGGUUGGGGACCACUGCUAUAUGUCGUAUCCACAGACAGGUUUGCUGUUGGUUGGAUGUCUGCUCUCUUCUCUUCCUCCUCUGCAGGUGCAGCUUCCAGGUGCAUUUCCCUCAUCAAGGAGCAGUACUUAGAGGAGAGGAUUCCCAGAGCCAGACCCCAGAUGGUUUACUACUAGUCGUGGUACUACUGCGGUUGCUCUGCUAUCACAGAUCAUUUAUGGUCUCGCUUAUCUUUGAUCUCAUCCUUCCUCAUAGGUCCUCAGUGCUCAGCUUCCACACUGAUUUUCCAGUCCUAUGGAUUUCUUCCUGCAGCAUCUGCCUCUCGUCCUCCUCGCUGCUCCUGUUCGGAGCACCUGUAGCUCAUCUACAGUCCUCACCUGCCUGUCCACCCACCAACUGUCCGUCUCCUCCAGCCAAGCAACCUAUUCACCCAGUCCAACAGCAAGCAGCCAACCACCGGAUCUGUGGAUGCUCUGCACCCCAUCUUGAUCGCCUCCUCUGCUUCAUAAAUGAGGAUCUGGUGUUGAUUUGGUGUUCGCCCUCCUGCAGAAAAGAUAAAUGAAAACUUUUUUUCUGUUCAAUAAAACAUGUAACCAAGCUG